rnacentral:rRNA from 1 species
CCUACGGUGCGCAGCAGUGAGGAAUAUUGGUCAAUGGGCGUAAGCCUGAACCAGCCAAGUCGCGUGAGGGAUGAAGGUUCUAUGGAUCGUACACCUCUUUUAUAAGGGAAUAAAGUGUGGGACGUGUCCUAUUUUGUAUGUACCUUAUGAAUAAGCAUCGGCUAACUCCGUGCCAGCAGCCGCGGUAAUACGGAGGAUACUAGCGUUAUCCGGAUUUAUUGGGUUUAAAGGGUGCGUAGGCGGGUUUUUAAGUCAGUGGUGAAAGUCUGGGGCUCAACCCUAAAAUUGCAGUUGAAACUGGGGGUCUUGAGUAUGUUGGAGGUAGGCGGAAUUCGUGGGGUAGCGGUGAAAUGCAUAGAUAUCACGAAGAACUCCGAUUGCGAAGGCAGCAUACCGGCGCCCAACUGACGCUGAAGCUCGAAAGCGUGGGUAUCGAACAGGAUUAGAUACCCUUGUAGUC